GGACUACUCGGGUAUCUAAUCCUGUUUGCUACCCACGCUUUCGUGUCUCAGCGUCAGUGAUGGUCCAGAAAGCUGUCUACACCGCAGGUGUUCCUCCUGAUAUCUACGCAUUUCACCGCUACACCAGGAAUUCCGCCUUCCUCUCCCAUACUCAAGCCCCCCAGUUUCCGGCGCACCCUCCCAGUUGAGCCGGGAGAUUUCACACCGAACUUAGGGAACCGCCUACACACUCUUUACGCCCAGUAAUUCCGAACAACGCUUGCUGCCUACGUAUUACCGCGGCUGCUGGCAC
rnacentral:rRNA from 1 species